AGAGUUUGAUCAUGGCUCAGAUUGAACGCUGGCGGCAGGCCUAACACAUGCAAGUCGAGCGGAUGACGGGAGCUUGCUCCUUGAUUCAGCGGCGGACGGGUGAGUAAUGCCUAGGAAUCUGCCUGGUAGUGGGGGACAACGUUUCGAAAGGAACGCUAAUACCGCAUACGUCCUACGGGAGAAAGCAGGGGACCUUCGGGCCUUGCGCUAUCAGACGAGCCUAGGUCGGAUUAGCUAGUUGGUGGGGUAAUGGCUCACCAAGGCGACGAUCCGUAACUGGUCUGAGAGGAUGAUCAGUCACACUGGAACUGAGACACGGUCCAGACUCCUACGGGAGGCAGCAGUGGGGAAUAUUGGACAAUGGGCGAAAGCCUGAUCCAGCCAUGCCGCGUGUGUGAAGAAGGUCUUCGGAUUGUAAAGCACUUUAAGUUGGGAGGAAGGGCAGUAAGUUAAUACCUUGCUGUUUUGACGUUACCGACAGAAUAAGCACCGGCUAACUCUGUGCCAGCAGCCGCGGUAAUACAGAGGGUGCAAGCGUUAAUCGGAAUUACUGGGCGUAAAGCGCGCGUAGGUGGUUUGUUAAGUUGGAUGUGAAAGCCCCGGGCUCAACCUGGGAACUGCAUCCAAAACUGGCAAGCUAGAGUACGGUAGAGGGUGGUGGAAUUUCCUGUGUAGCGGUGAAAUGCGUAGAUAUAGGAAGGAACACCAGUGGCGAAGGCGACCACCUGGACUGAUACUGACACUGAGGUGCGAAAGCGUGGGGAGCAAACAGGA
rnacentral:rRNA from 1 species